rnacentral:tRNA from 1 species
AACAAGGUAGUUUAAGUUGAAAAUUUCUAUUUUACACGUAGAGGAUGGCGAGUGCCUAUUGUUA